GGUCAAAAGAACCAAGGCGAAUGGCGGAGACCUAGGCACUUAGAGACGAUGAAGGGCGCAGAUACCGGCGAAACGCUUCGGGGAGCUGGCAACAAGCUUUGAUCCGAAGAUACCCGAAUAGGACAACCUUUAAAACUUCUUCAUGAAUUCAUAGUGAAGAAAGAGACAACCCAGUGAAUUGAAACAUCUUAGUAGCUGGAGGAAAAGAAAGCAAACGCGAUUCCCGUAGUAGCGGCGAGCGAAACGGGAACAGCCUAAACCCAUUCUUUGAAUGGGGGUAGUGGGAAGACAAAUAAAAGAAGAUUCUAAAAAAAGUAUUAGACGAAGCAGCUGAAUCCUGCACCAUAGAGGGUGAAAGUCCCGUAGUUAAAAGCUUAGAACUCUGUCAAAUCCCGAGUAGCAUGGGGCACGUGAAAUCCCGUGUGAAUCUGCGAGGACCACCUCGUAAGGCUAAACACUCCUAAGUGACCGAUAGCGAAAUAGUACCGCGAGGGAAAGGUGAAAAGAACCCCGUUGGGGAGUGAAAUAGAACAUGAAACCGUUCGCUGACAAGCAGUGGGAGGAUUUUUGAAUCUGACCGCGUGCCUGUUGAAGAAUGAGCCGGCGACUUGUAGGGAGUGGCUGGGUUAAGGAAAUCAAUCCGGAGCCCAAGCGAAAGCGAGUCUGAAUAGGGCGAAAAUGUCACUUCUUACGGACCCGAACCCGGGUGAUCUAAUUAUGACCAGGAUGAAGCUUGGGUAACACCAAAUGGAGGUCCGAACCCACCGAUGUUGAAAAAUCGGGGGAUGAGUUGUAAUUAGCGGAGAAAUUCCAAUCGAACUCGGAGCUAGCUGGAUCUCUCCGAAAUGCGUUGAGGCGCAGCGGUAACGAUGAGCUGUCUUAAGGGUAAAGCACUGUUUCGAUACGGGCUGCGAAAGCGGUACCAAGUCGUGGCAAACUUAGAAUAUUAGACAUUGCCUUCCGUUAACCAGUGAGACAGUGGGGGAUAAGCUUCAUUGUCAAGAGGGAAACAGCCCAGAUCACCAGCUAAGGCCCCUAAAUGGCCGCUAAGUGGAAAAGGAUGUGAGAAUGCAGAAACAACCAGGAGGUUUGCUUAGAAGCAGCCACCCUUGAAAGAGUGCGUAAUAGCUCACUGGUAAAGCGUUCUUGCGCCGACAAUGGCCGGGACUAAGCGGCCUGCCGAAGCUGUGAGAUUUUUUAUUAAAAAUCGGUAGGAGAGCGUUCCGCUGAGGGUGAAGCUUUUUUGAAAAGAAAGGUGGACGAAGCGGAAGUGAGAAUGUCGGCUUGAGUAACGAAAACAUUGGUGAGAAUCCAAUGCCCCGAAAACCUAAGGGUUCCUCCACAAGGUUCGUCCGUGGGGGGUGAGUCAGGACCUAAGACUAGGCCAAACGGCGUCGUCGAUGGAAAACAGGUUAAUAUUCCUGUACGAUUAUUUAUUGGAACCGAGGGACGAAGCAGGCUAAAUUAGGACUAUUUGUGGAUUGUAGUGGAAGCUUUCAAGGCGUUGAUAGGUCGAACAAAAACGAUUCUAGAGCUGAGAGGUGACCCCAUCUUCUGUCUUCGGAAAGAAGAUGCUAAUGAUGUCAUACUUCCAAGAAAAGCUCGAACACCUCUCUUUAUGAGAUAAAAAAUAAAUAAUCCCUGUACCUGAAACCGACACAGGUAGGUAGGUAGAGAAUACUAAGGGGCGCGAGAGAACUCUCUCUAAGGAACUCGGCAAACUGGCCCCGUAACUUCGGAAGAAGGGGCGCCCUCUAACCAUGAGGGUCGCAGUGACCAGGCCCAUGCAACUGUUUAUCAAAAACACAGGUCUCCGCAAAGUCGUAAGACGAUAUAUGGGGGCUGACGCCUGCCCAGUGCCGGAAGGUGAAAGAAGUUGGUUAUUCUUUUGGAAAAAGCUGACAACUGAAGCCCCGGUGAACGGCGGCCGUAACUAUAACGGUCCUAAGGUAGCGAAAUUCAUUGCCAGGUAAGUUCUGGCCUGCACGAAAGGCGUAAUGAUAUGGGCGCUGUCUCGGAGAGAGACUCGGUGAAAUAGACUUGUCUGUGAAGAUGCGGACUACUUGUACCUGGACAGAAAGACCCUAUGAAGCUUCACUCCAUACUGUAAUUGGGUUCGGGCUUUUCUUGCGCAGUCUAGGUGGGAGGCGUUGAAGAUUUUCUUCUGGGAAAAUUGGAGCCAUCAGUGAGAGACCACUCUGGAAGAGCUAGAAUCCUAAUGGUAUUCCUUGAAUCAGGAUACUUGACAGUUUCAGUAGGGGAGUUUGUUUGGGGCGAACGCCUCAUAAAAGGUAACUGAGGCGUGCAAAGGUUCUCUCAGUCUGGACGGAAAUCAGAUGUUGAGUGUAAAUGCAAAAGAGAGCUUGACUGCAAGACCUACAAGUCGAGCAGGUGCGAAAGCAGGCGUUAGUGAUCCGACGAUGCAGUGUGGAAUGGUCGUCGCUCAACGGAUAAAAGUUACUCUAGGGAUAACAGGCUAAUCUUUUCAGAGAGUUCAUAUCGACGAAAAGGUUUGGCACCUUAACAUCUGGGGUCUCUCUGUAGUAAUAUAGAGAUGUCAAUCUAGCUAUAUGCUGGAACAUCCGUCUAUUGUGCUUAGCAUAAAUAGUGUAGUAUGUUUUGGUACUAAUUUUAAAUUAGUGAAAAUUCAAAACUGCGGAUAAUCAGCAAGGAAGUCCUCUGUCUAUUAGAUAUGACCCUUCAACGACUACACGCUGGACAACCAAAUAAAAAUUGGUUGAUGAUAUAGUCUGAUCUACUAGGCGACUAGUAGAGCGAAUCUCAAUAAUUAUUAAGAUUUGCAAAUAACUUUUAAUGAAACAUUACAAAACUAUGAAACUUAACCAACAACAACAAGAUUUAUUAAUUGGGACUUUAUUAGGUGACGGAAAUUUACAGUCAGAAACGAAAGGACGCACGUGGCGCUAUAGAGCUUUGCAUAAAGCUGAACAUAAAGAAUAUUUGUUUCACAAGUACGAUGUUUUAAAAACUUUGUGCUCGAGUCCUCCAAUUUACGAUGAAAUUUUCGAUCAACGAAGUCAAAAGACUUAUAAAAGAUGGUAUUUUAAUACUGAAGUUAAUGACAGUCUUAGACUUUAUGGAAAUUUAUUCUAUACUUUAGAUCCAAAAACUUUUCAUCUAGUUAAAGACGUACCUGAAAAAAUUGAAUUGUUCUUAACUCCAAAAGCAGUUGCUUACUGGUAUAUGGAUGACGGAGCUUUAAAAUGGUUAGGUAAAUCUAAUGCUAUGCGAAUUUGUNNUGAAUCUUUUAGUGAGGAAGGUGUAAACCGAUNNCAAAAAGCUUUAAAAAAGCUUUAUGGCAUCGAAACAAAUAAGGUCCGUAAAACAAAUAAAACCGUUUUNNUCGGAUAUCGAANUGGAAUUAAUGAACAAAAUUCAGCCAANNUUCGUGAACUUAUUAAACCGCACUUNNUUGAUUGNNUGAAAUAUANNGUAUCUGAUGNNNAUAAUGGUCAUCUGUAAUAUUAGGGUUUCAAAAGUUAUNNUAACAUAAAUGCG
rnacentral:rRNA from 1 species